CCGACUGGGGAGGAAAUAGGAGGGAAGAAGUCACAAUGGCAAGAUUGAGGAUUGGGCACAGCUAUUUAUGCAGCACAUUAUUUGUGAUGGGGAAACACCCAACUGGACUUUGUGAGCGCUGCCAGGCACCAGAAACUGUACAACAUGUUGUCACCACAUGCAAUAAAUACAGGUCAGAAAGGAAGGUCAUGUUGGAAGAAAUGGAGAGACUAGGGAUGAAGGGAAGAGAGCUAGGAAGUAUAUUGGAGUGGGGGUCUAGUGGUCUGGGAAGAGGGUGUUUCAUGCAAUUUUUGCGAGCAACAGGACUGAUGGGGAAAGUAUAGUAGCUGGGAACCGGAAGAUGGCAGUAGUGCAACUAAAAGGAUGCAAGCUGCCGUAAAACACCACAGAAGAAGAUCCUCUCCCGUCAUUAGCGGCGUGCAGGCACAUUAAUCAAAUGUUUUUGUCAAUCAAAUCUAGUUUUUCUCCCAUGUUUGUUGUAACCCUUGUGGUGAGAAGCAUGGGACCGACAACACUGUUCGUGAGGGCUUGGUUAACACGCACGUGAUACCCGUGGUGUAAAUAUUCCUGUAGCCUACGUUACUUACUGUAGGCUACUUAAUUUAUUUACAUAUUCUGUCCUAGCAAUUGUGUGCAUCCUUACAAGGCAUAGACAGAUAGCUAACCAAAGAGUGCAGAAGGAAUGACGCUCCAGAAUGUUUUGUUGAUGAACUUUACUUUCAGAUGUUCAUUCUUUAGAUAACUCUGUUGCUCUUCUUUUCUCUCUUUUUUCAGGUAAAAGGACGUAUUUACUCCAAGGAUCUGACCGCUAGAAACUGCUUCGAUCCAUACAGCUCUUUGAACACGUUAGAACUGGAUUUUGCCGGCGGGACAAAACAAAGGCACUUAAGAUCCUGCUUCCCAUCUCGUCAGUCCAACUGCCUUCACCUGCCUCUGAUCACUCCCUAGUCAUCCCUCAUUCCCUUCACCUGGUCUUCAUGCCCAUCUCACCUGUUGCCCAUUCCCUCGUUAGUCCCUGUCUACUGAGGUCCCCUCACUUGCACUUGUCCUCUGCCAGAUUGUCUUGUGUUUCCAGCCCAAGCCCUCGUGUGUUACUUGAUCAGUCAAUGUAUUGCUUAGUGUUCUGUUCUGGGUUAUUCUCUCAGUAAAGAUAAUUAUUUGC